rnacentral:rRNA from 1 species
UGUUACUGACGCUAAAGCUCGAAAGUGCGGGUAUCGAACAGGAUUAGAUACCCUGGUAGUCCGCACGGUAAACGAUGGAUGCCCGCUGUUUGCCCUUCGGGGUGAGUGGCUAAGCGAAAGCGUUAAGCAUCCCACCUGGGGAGUACGCCGGCAACGGUGAAACUCAAAGGAAUUGACGGGGGCCCGCACAAGCGGAGGAACAUGUGGUUUAAUUCGAUGAUACGCGAGGAACCUUACCCGGGCUUGAAUUGCAGAUGACGGAUCUAGAGAUAGUGACUUCCUUCGGGACAUCUGUGAAGGUGCUGCAUGGUUGUCGUCAGCUCGUGCCGUGAGGUGUCGGCUUAAGUGCCAUAACGAGCGCAACCCUUCUCUUCAGUUGCCAUCAGGUUAAGCUGGGCACUCUGGAGACACUGCCACCGUAAGGUGUGAGGAAGGUGGGGAUGACGUCAAAUCAGCACGGCCUUGACGUCCGGGGCUACACACGUGUUACAAUGGCCGGUACAGAAAGUCGGAUGCCCGUAAGGUCAUUCUAAUCAAGAAAGCCGGUCCCAGUUCGGACUGAGGUCUGCAACCCGACCUCACGAAGCUGGAUCGCUAGUA